UAGUGUGGUGGAUGGCACGAAGAAAAUCGGAAAUGCAGGAGGAUUGAGAUGCUAAGCAACACUCAAAAAGGUCAAUAAACAACCAUCGUGUGGUUUUUAAUUGCUCUCCUCAACUCUCUUGGCACUAAACGACAAGCAUGGUGAAGCAUUUUGAAAAAUUCAAAUAGUGGGAUACGUUGAGAAAACAUGAGGAAGAUAUGGGGAGGUUUAGAAUGGAGAAUAUAACGCAAUGGAAGAAAUAGACGUUCAAUGAGGAAGAAUCACAUACAGGCGUUCCAGCAUUAAAAGCUCCAUUUAAUCAUCCUACAUGAAUACAAAAAUAAGACUAUUGAGGUCCGCUGUUAAGCAAAUUGCAGCAGUUUUUUUUUCUUCACGAAUCUGUUCCGGGGAAGAACUUUCAAUGUCACCGCAAACAAAGCAAAUAGAUAAAAUUGUUAAUUGGCAGAAAAUAAGUUCUGCCUUCGUGUAAAUAUUCUCUCACUCUUCAAUAUACAAUGGGAAAGUUUAUAUAAAUUCUAUUGCGAAAAUUAUAUUCCUUCAGCACACUUUUCUAUGUAUAUAUUUUCACAGCUUUCAAUAUAAAUAGUUUAUACAAUUUUAAAAUUAGUGAAAAUACAGAAAAUGAAGAUAGUUUUUGCAAAUUCUGCCGUGGUGGAGAUGAUAAAAUGUUGAUUGUGUGAAGUUGAUGAAGCAGAAUAUAUUAAAAAUACAAAAAGAAGAAUAAAAAAUUAAACAGAUAAUGUAAAUUCUAACGUAGGCAUCAUUUAAAUUGGCGAUAGGAAUUUUCUCCUGCAUUUAAAAAUAAUUUCCGCUGACGCUUUGAAAUACAAAAAUCAGCUGCAUUUGAAAAUUUUCCAUAGUCACGGUUGAAAAUUAUCUAAACAAAGUUCAUGUGCAUGGGAAUGAAUCAGAAAAUACAUUCGUGCAACUAUAAAUAACAUUGUUAGAAUAAGCAAUCAGUAUUGAUAAGAAAGACUUUUUUUUUCAUCAUCAUCACACUCCCAUUCACUCGCCACAGUGGGAAAAUAUUGACAGAUUGUUUUGAAGCAUUAUGUAUGUUAAAGAAAAAGAAGUUUUCAAUUAAUUCUUAACCUUGGAAGGCAUUGAGAAAAUGCAGAUGAUUAAA